AACGCACCUUGCGCCCCUUGGCAUUCCAAGGGGCAUGCCUGUUUGAGUGUCACGUAUAUCAUCACCUGCCUCAUGGGGUCUCCUGUGGGGGUUAUGCGGUGGACUUGGGUGUUGCCGAUGUCUCGUCGGCUCGUCCUGAAAUGCAUUAGCCCUUGACCUCCGGUCGCCUUCCUCAUGGUGUGAUAAAUAUCAACGCCGCUUGGUUUGGUUGGCCUGGGUUGGCUCAGAGUGUGUUGUUCGCCAGGCUUCCCUGGCGAUCGCUUUCUUGAAUUUGACCUCAAAUCAGGUAGGAUUACCCGCUGAACUUAA
rnacentral:misc_RNA from 1 species